rnacentral:rRNA from 1 species
AGAGUUUGAUCCUGGCUCAGGACGAACGCUGGCGGCGCGCCUAACACAUGCAAGUCGAACGAGAGAUGAAGAGCUUGCUCUUCAAAUCGAGUGGCGAACGGGUGAGUAACGCGUGAGGAACCUGCCUCAAAGAGGGGGACAACAGUUGGAAACGACUGCUAAUACCGCAUAAGCCCACGGCUCGGCAUCGAGCAGAGGGAAAAGGAGCAAUCCGCUUUGAGAUGGCCUCGCGUCCGAUUAGCUAGUUGGUGAGGUAACGGCCCACCAAGGCGACGAUCGGUAGCCGGACUGAGAGGUUGAACGGCCACAUUGGGACUGAGACACGGCCCAGACUCCUACGGGAGGCAGCAGUGGGGAAUAUUGCACAAUGGGGGAAACCCUGAUGCAGCGACGCCGCGUGGAGGAAGAAGGUCUUCGGAUUGUAAACUCCUGUUGUUGAGGAAGAUAAUGACGGUACUCAACAAGGAAGUGACGGCUAACUACGUGCCAGCAGCCGCGGUAAAACGUAGGUCACAAGCGUUGUCCGGAAUUACUGGGUGUAAAGGGAGCGCAGGCGGGAGAACAAGUUGGAAGUGAAAUCCAUGGGCUCAACCCAUGAACUGCUUUCAAAACUGUUUUUCUUGAGUAGUGCAGAGGUAGGCGGAAUUCCCGGUGUAGCGGUGGAAUGCGUAGAUAUCGGGAGGAACACCAGUGGCGAAGGCGGCCUACUGGGCACCAACUGACGCUGAGGCUCGAAAGUGUGGGUAGCAAACAGGAUUAGAUACCCUGGUAGUCCACACCGUAAACGAUGAUUACUAGGUGUUGGAGGAUUGACCCCUUCAGUGCCGCAGUUAACACAAUAAGUAAUCCACCUGGGGAGUACGACCGCAAGGUUGAAACUCAAAGGAAUUGACGGGGGCCCGCACAAGCAGUGGAGUAUGUGGUUUAAUUCGACGCAACGCGAAGAACCUUACCAAGUCUUGACAUCCCUUGACGAUGCUGGAAACAGUAUUUCUCUUCGGAGCAAGGAGACAGGUGGUGCAUGGUUGUCGUCAGCUCGUGUCGUGAGAUGUUGGGUUAAG